CCGAGUCUUAACCGGGCGUUAAGUUGCAGGGUAUAGACCCGAAACCCGGUGAUCUAGCCAUGGGCAGGUUGAAGGUUGGGUAACACUAACUGGAGGACCGAACCGACUAAUGUUGAAAAAUUAGCGGAUGACCUGUGGCUGGGGGUGAAAGGCCAAUCAAACCGGGAGAUAGCUGGUUCUCCCCGAAAGCUAUUUAGGUAGCGCCUCGUGAAUUCAUCUCCGGGGGUAGAGCACUGUUUCGGCUAGGGGGCCAUCCCGGCUUACCAACCCGAUGCAAACUGCGAAUACCGGAGAAUGUUAUCACGGGAGACACACGGCGGGUGCUAACGUCCGUCGUGAAGAGGGAAACAACCCAGACCGCCAGCUAAGGUCCCAAAGUCAUGGUUAAGUGGGAAACGAUGUGGGAAGGCCCAGACAGCCAGGAUGUUGGCUUAGAAGCAGCCAUCAUUUAAAGAAAGCGUAAUAGCUCACUGGUCGAGUCGGCCUGCGCGGAAGAUGUAACGGGGCUAAACCAUG
rnacentral:rRNA from 1 species